UGGCAGCUGAGGGGUGUGGGCUGAGAU
rnacentral:piRNA from 1 species